UUCGGGAGGCGCGUGUGUAUUAUGCUGGAUCAGGAUGUCAGCAAAAUACUAAAGGAGGAAAAUGCAAUCAAGGGUUGAUGUUUCUUCAACGAAGAAUUUAAGGUUUCAACGAAGAAUUUAAGAGUUCUUGGUUGUUGAUUUCAAAAGUGAUCGAUCAAGGGGUAAAAGACAAAGGUGAUCGAUCAAGGUCAAGGCAGAACUUCAGAGUUCAAAUUUCACACAAUUUAUGUGCGUUUCUUUUUGGAAGUUUUAUGAGAAAAUUUGCAAUUUCGAAUUUAGUUAGCAAGACAGUCCAAUUAUUUUCUAUUUUGGUUGAGUUGUCUUUCUUUGAGGUUUGUAAUUUGAUUUUGGGGGUCCCUCUACCAAUGACGUUUGUACUGAGGUGGAGUUCGAAACAUUGCACACAAGGUGUUCGAUAAAAAUCCUCAGUGAGAUUACAUUGUUCUUGA